rnacentral:rRNA from 1 species
GAUGAACGCUGGCGGCGUGCCUAAUACAUGCAAGUCGAGCGAACAGAUAAGGAGCUUGCUCCUUUGACGUUAGCGGCGGACGGGUGAGUAACACGUGGAUAACCUACCUAUAAGACUGGGAUAACUUCGGGAAACCGGAGCUAAUACCGGAUAACAUAUUGAACCGCAUGGUUCAAUAGUGAAAGGCGGCUUUGCUGUCACUUAUAGAUGGAUCCGCGCCGUAUUAGCUAGUUGGGAAGGUAACGGCUUACCAAGGCAACGAUACGUAGCCGACCUGAGAGGGUGAUCGGCCACACUGGAACGGAGACACGGUCCAGACUCCUACGGGAGGCAGCAGUAGGGAAUCUUCCGCAAUGGGCGAAAGCCUGACGGAGCAACGCCGCGUGAGUGAUGAAGGUCUUCGGAUCGUAAAACUCUGUUAUCAGGGAAGAACAAAUGUGUAAGUAACUGUGCACAUCUUGACGGUACCUGAUCAGAAAGCCACGGCUAACUACGUG